rnacentral:rRNA from 1 species
GGGUCAGUAGGUUGGUCGUGCCACCGGUACGUACUGGUCUCACUGAUUCCUCAUUCCUGAAGAACCGUAAUGCCAUUAAUUUGGUGUUGCGGGGAAACAGGACUGUUACUUUGAAAAAAUUAGAGUGUUUAAAGCAAGCUAACGCUUGAAUACAUUAGGAUGGAAUAAUGAAAUAGGACGAUCGAUCCUAUUUUGUUGGUUUCUAGGAUUGACGUA